GAUGAACGCUGGCGGCGUGCCUAAUACAUGCAAGUCGAGCGAACGGACGAGAAGCUUGCUUCUCUGAUGUUAGCGGCGGACGGGUGAGUAACACGUGUAUAACCUACCUAUAAGACUGGGAUAACUUCGGGAAACCGGAGCUAAUACCGGAUAAUAUUUUGAACCGCAGGGUUCAAAAGUGAAAGACGGUCUUGCUGUCACUUAUAGAUGGAUCCGCGCUGCAUUGGCUAGUUGGUAAGGUAACGGCUUACCAAGGCAACGAUGCAUAGCCGACCUGAGAGGGUGAUCGGCCACCCUGGAGCUGGGCCACGGUCCAGACUCCUACGGGAGGCCGCAGUAGGGAAUCUUCCGCAAUGGGCGAAAGCCUGACGGAGCAACGCCGCGUGAGUGAUGAAGGUCUUCGGAUCGUAAAACUCUGUUAUUAGGGAAGAACAUAUGUGUAAGUAACUGUGCACAUCUUGACGGUACCUAAUCAGAAAGCCACGGCUAACUACGUG
rnacentral:rRNA from 1 species